UAUGGACUGUUGAAAUGAUUUCCCUGCUAUCUCCAGGAGCCCCUGAACUCAGAAGACGACGUGAGCGAUGAUGACCCCACUGACCUGUUUGACAUUGACAAUGUGGUGGUGUGUCAGUAUGAAAGAAUCAACCGCAGCAAGAACAAGUGGAAGUUUCACCUGAAGGACGGCAUUAUGAACCUCGGUGGGAAAGACUACGUGUUCCAGAAGGCUACAGGAGACGCAGAAUGGUAGUGGGAGUGGGAGUGGGGCAGACUACAUGUAUCAGAAUUCUGUCAUGCUCUCCACAGAAGGAAAUUCUUGGCUCUGUAUCUUCAUAUUUCUUUGCUAUAGCAAAUUUUGUGCUUAAUCAAUAUACUUUGUACUUCACCAUGGUUUUUAUGGUAGCACUUCCGGGGUAUGGUAGCCUUUAAGGCAAUAUAUAUAUAUAUCAGUCAGUCCUUUAAGGCAAUACUUAGCAACAAACUCUUGUCGAAAGAUUUGCAAAGAUUCCUACACAAAUAAGGGGUGCUCCUUGUAUUGAAUUUUUGUCCCCAUUAGGCAUAGUGUUAUAUCAAUGGCUGUCUGUGGAUGGAGAAGUUUUAAAGUUGUGAUUUAAGCGGUGCACAAUGGACUAUUACUGCAUUGUCACAUGGUGCAAACAUUGUUUGGAUUUGAAUACUGUUGUAGGAACACCAUUCCCAUUGAGCUUAAUCCUGGAUAUCCACUAUCUCCAGACUUAUUAAAAGCUUAUUCCUGUAGCAAUCUAGAUGUAGCACUCAAAUGAACAUGAUUUUUUGAAGGAGAAUCUUCUCCAACCGAUCUGAUUUCAUCAUUGAUUUUCACAACUCAUCUACAUGUAGCUUUUGUAUUGUGUACCUCUGCUUCUACAGUUAAAUGUAAGUCUCUUGGCUGAAAAUGAACAUGGACAUGAGUUGUACACGUGUGUUAAUGAUAAGAUUCAUACUUUACUUCAUGGAAAGGAAAGUGGUUGAAAAAAAGAAUUUAAAACAUCUAGAGGAAGCAGACACUCUGAUGUCGUAUGAGCAAGAAAGAAGAAUAUUUAUUGUUGUAUUAAGACCAGUACUGUGUGCCAGUAAUGGUAAGAAUUACACCUACAGCAGCUAAUAUGAAAGCUUGAAUUCAAGCUCUGAUAAUCUAUUAUUAGCUGUUAUUGUCCUAACAUCAUAGUUAAGCAUUAAAUAUGUCAUUGUUUAUGUUUAUUGUGUCUAUUUCAAGUCACCAAAGUAGUAGAACAGUGUAGCUAUCAGGUGCCUUUCCAGUGUCCAGCUUGAAAGUAAAUAUUGAAAUAGCAAGGCAGUACAUGUAUAUCUUUGUAACAAGGCUCAGAAGAACAAGAGAGAGCUAAGGAGACAGACUUGGUCAUUGAUAUUUGUGCAAAGGUAUGAUCCUACAAAUACAUGUAUUUGCUGUUGUACAUGUUGAUGAAGUGUAAUGAAAUUCACAGUUUCAAAAUACACAUUACACGUGGAGCAAACUGGUACAAAACUGCUUAGUGUACAGAGUAUGGCUGCUUUUAGGCCUCUAAUCAGAUCUGUGCAUCUUAAUCCAGUGUCAGCUUUGAUAAACCUUAUUAUACCAGUGGGUGUAACUCUGUUAAAACAACAGUAGCUACAGAAACUUUUAAAUAGUUGUGUUUUUAUGUCCAAGUCAAGUAGGACCCAAGCACCUUUGCCAUUCCUCUGGCCAGCUGGUUUGUUGAUUCUGUAUUUGAAGGGUCCCUUUGUAUAACAAAAGUUGCUGGUACUGUAAACCACACACCCGCAUCUGCAGAACAGGCCACACCCUAUUUGACUUAUACAACAGAAACGUAUUCUUAGUAACGAAAGAGGGUUAGCUCUAUAUUUUGUUAACUUCCCAUACUGUACUGUUAAGUGUUGGCUGUCUCAUUUCAGUGGAGCACACAUUAAAGUUGCCUUAUAUGGGAAA